UACGUAGGAGACAAGCGCUAUCCGGAUUUACUGGGCGUAAAGGGAGCGUAGGCGGAUAAUUAAGUGGGAUGUGAAAUACCCGGGCUCAACCUGGGUGCUGCAUUCCAAACUGAUUAUCUAGAGUGCAGGAGAGGAGAGUGGAAUUCCUAGUGUAGCGGUGAAAUGCGUAGAGAUUAGGAAGAACACCAGUGGCGAAGGCGACUCUCUGGACUGUAACUGACGCUGAGGCUCGAAAGCGUGGGGAGCAUACAGG
rnacentral:rRNA from 1 species